AAGCCAUGCAAUAGGACUGCAUCUGUCCCAUGAACACUCAUGAGCUUGAACCGUGAGGUUCAUUUAUCUGUACCUGUGUCCAGAGGUGGCUUGUUGGGAACACUAGAAAAGACUUCAGGGGGAAAAAAAAAUCAGUUAACUUGCUUUUGAUGGGUAUUUUGACAAAUCUCUUAAAUUCCUGUCCCCUUCAAGUCCUGCUCCAGGAAGGAGCAAAGCAGUCUUCACUUUGCAGCUGGUUGCAAAAGGCCUCUGGGCUUUUUGCAGCAAGGCCUCUUCCUCUUGAUACCUAGUGAAGCUUGAAUCAGGAAGCCCUGGCUCUGUGUGGCAAAACUGCCUGUACUUAACCUGGAGGAUCUGUCAGGUUAUCAAGCUGUCAGAUGUAGCUUAGAGAUGGAUAGUUAAACAUCUAAACAGUUGUGCUCAAAAAUUUCUGGUGCUCUGGGGUUGCUUGAGAAUUUGAAGGAUAAGUGUGAAUGGUGCAGAGAAUGGGGGGCUUGUGACAGAAGGCUUUGUCAGGGUUCAAAAUCACCUGUAACAUGAUGUUAUUCCACAGGGUCAGGAAAAAGUGUCCGCAGUAUGAAGAGAAAGAAGAAAGGAAAAAACUUCGGCAAGAAAACAGAAAUGGACAUGUUGGUGUGUAAAUGAGGAAAAAGCAGAACAAUUCUGCUGUGGCCACUGCCAAGCUACAGGGUACCUCUGGCUACCUGCCACAUCCACCUGGACACUGGGGGCUGGAGUUGUUGCCACUAAGCCCUGACUCAUCAAGACGGAGGCUGCUGCAAGGAGAUGCCCAACAUGCCACUUGCUGCUGAGCCACUUGCUGGGGAGAACAGUUGCCACUCUACUUUGUACAACAACAUGGAGGGAGCUGCCACUGCAGGGGCAGAGGACUUGCUAUCAGGACCUGCUGGAGACUGCUGUUACUGAGCUUUCUCUACCUGUGUUAGACCUCUGGUCUCUGCUGUUUUGUGGAUGGACUUUUUUUCUGCUAGCAAGUCUCUUUUGGCAGCUCUAACUGAGGAGAAGUUGUGGCUUUCAGGAAAGUGAGGUGAAGGGGAGGAUGUUCCCUUCCCUCUCCCCAAAGUUAGAGAAGAGCUUAUCUAACUAGGCCUCAGUGGACAAAACUAAUUCUGCUCUUGCUGUGCUCCCUGUUGAUACCAGCUUCAAACGAUUUCAUCUCCAGUUCUGACUUGCAGGGUGUUGGUGACAAAUCUGUUAGCCACACCUGGGUUCUGUUACUGUAUGUGUGGAAGGUUCUCUCUCUAAAUUCAGUAGGACUUACUGUGUGAGUGGAGCUAUCCAUCUGUGUGUGUGCUAGCCGAAGUUAAAACUAGCCUCCUCAGGAUGCUAAGAAGGUCUGAAGCUCUGUCCCUGAAGGAAAGCAAUGCUUGAAAAAGCAAUAAGCCUGGGCACUCCUGUUGUGGUGUCUGUCCAUUGGCUACAAACAGCUGUUAUCCAGAUGUUGGAUGCUGCUUUGAGCAGCAUUGAAGUCAAGUGAUGUGAAUCAGAUUCAGCCAUUUGACAACUCAGCCAAGAACCUGUUCCUUUGAAGAAAGAAAUUGAUGCACUGAUACUCAGCAAGUGGUGGUCUCCUGUGCUUUACCUCCUGGUGUGAAGAACUCUACUUACCUCAAACUUCUCUGACCCAAGGACCCUCAGUUUCCUGAAUACCCAUGCAAUCUUGAGCACGGAGUAUUAUCUGAGUUCAGUUUCUUCUUGAAAGACUGUGUGCACUUUCUAAAUAGAUCAGAAUUCUUCUGGUAACAGAGCAAUGCCAUUAAUUGUCAAGUUAUAUCUGUAAAUGUGUACAUUUAUUGUAUUUAAUAUUUAAUGUUUCCAUAACAAAC
rnacentral:lncRNA from 1 species